UAUCAACUGACCUAGCAGACAACCCAAGAUGAUAGAGUUUUUCCUUUAAGGAGGGAAUAAUG
rnacentral:ncRNA from 1 species